GACGAACGCUGGCGGCGUGCUUAACACAUGCAAGUCGAACGGAAAGGCCCUGCUCUUGCGGGGUGCUCGAUUGGCGAACGGGUGAGUAACACGUGAGUAACCCGCCCUUGACUUUGGGAGAACUUCAGGAAACUGGGGCUAAUACCGGAUAGGAGCUCCUGCUGCAUGGUGGGGGUUGGAAAGUUUCGGCGGUUGGGGAUGGACUCGCGGCUUAUCAGCUUGUUGGUGGGGUAGUGGCUUACCAAGGCUUUGACGGGUAGCCGGCCUGAGAGGGUGACCGGCCACAUGGGGACUGCGAUACGGCCCAGACUCCUACGGGAGGCAGCAGUGGGGAAUAUGGCGCAAUGGGCGGAAGCCUGAUGCAGCAACGCCGCGUGCGGGAUGACGGCCUUCGGGUUGUAAACCGCUUUCGCCUGUGACGAGGCGUGAGUGACGGUAAUGGGUAAAGAAGCACCGGCUAACUACGUG
rnacentral:rRNA from 1 species